UACAGGGGGUGCAACCGUUGCUCGGAAUCAUUGGGCGUAAAGCGCACGUAGGCGGUUCGUUAUGUCGGAUGUGAAAGCCCUUGGCUUAACCGAGGAAGUGCAUCCGAAACUGGCGAGCUAGAGUACUAAAGAGGAUCGCGGAAUUCCCGGUGUAGAGGUGAAAUUCGUAGAUAUCGGGAGGAACACCGGUGGCGAAGGCGGCGACCUGGGUAGAUACUGACGCUGAGGUGCGAAAGCGUGGGGAGCAAACAGG
rnacentral:rRNA from 1 species